rnacentral:rRNA from 1 species
UGAGUCACGCGUGUCCAACCUGCCCCCCGCCCGGGGAUAGCCCUUGGAAAUCGAGGAUUAAGACCCGAUACGUGCGCUUUCCGCAUGGCGAGCGCAUGGAAACCCAGGCGAGGGAUGGGGACGCGUCGGAUUAGCUUGACGGCGGGGCAACGGCCCACCGUGGCGACGAUCCGCAGGGGUUUCUGAGAGGAAGGUCCCCCACACUGGCACUGAGACACGGGCCAGACUCCUACGGGAGGCAGCAGUGAGGAAUAUUGGUCAAUGGCCGAGAGGCUGAACCAGCCAAGUAGCGUGCAGGAUGUACGGCCCUACGGGUUGUAAACUGCUUUUGACGGGAGGAUAAAGUGCGCUACGUGUAGCGCUUUGCAGGUAUCCCGUGAAUAAGGACCGGCUAAAUUCCGUGCCAGCCGCCGC